rnacentral:lncRNA from 1 species
CGAUAUGUUUGGUACGUUCAUGAAAAACAGGAUUGUUAGCAAUAUGAACAGCAGCCAUACUAUCACAAUAUAUAGAAAUAGGAGGGGAAACAGAUACCCCAAGGUCAACCAACAAACGAGAGAGCCAAGUCAACUCAGCAACAACCUUGCUUAGGGCUCGAUAUUCUGCCUCAACAGAGGAGAGAGAAACAACAUGCUGUUUCUUAGAUUUCCAACUGAUCAAACAGCCACCCAAGAGCACGCAAAAACCAGUAACAGAGCGCCUAGUAUCAGGGCAAGCAGCCCAGUCACUAUCAAAACCCAGUAACAGAUAAAUCAGCAUGAGCAGAGUAAAAUAAGCCCAAGGAGGGAGUGCCCUUAAGGUAGCGCAGAACAUGCAGGGCAGCAGUCAUAUGGGGAAGUCUGGGGCAUUUGAGGCAUUGACUCAGAUAAUGGACUGCAAAACAAAUGUCAGGCCUAGUAUGAGUUAGGAAGAGCAUCUUGCCAACUAGACACCUGUACUAGUCAGGAGAGGGCAAGAUGUCACCAGAAUCAGCAUGAAGUUUGACAUUGAUGUCCAAAGGGGACACAACAGAAAAGACAUUGACACAGUCAAACUGAUGCAGCAAAUCAGAAAUAUACUUAUGCUGAUUAAGGAGCAUCCCACCAGGGACCACUGACAUCUCAAGACCCAAAAAAUAAUGCAAAGACCCCAAAUCUUUGAUUUUAAACUGAUCAUCCAGAAACAGUUUAAGAGCAGUACGUUCAUCACUGUCAUCCCCAGUAAGUAUGAUGUCAUCCACAUAGACUGCUACCACUACAAGUGAGCCAGGUUUACCUUUGAUGAAUAAGGAAUAGUCAUUCAAAGAAUGUGUAUACCGCCACUACAAGGGAGCUAGGCUUACCUUUGAUGAACAAGAAGUAGUCAUUCAAAGAAUGUUUAUACCCCCUGGAAUAAAGAGCAGAAGACAACUUGGCAUACCACUGUCUGGAUGCUUGUCUCAGCCCAUACAGGGAUUUCUUGAGUUUGCAGACCAGAGGAGGAGAAGGAGAAGAAGCAGAACCAGAAGUAGAAGGAGAGACAGUCAAAACUGGAGGAAGUUUCAUGUAAACAUCCUCAUCCAGAUCACCAUGAAGAAAGGCAUUAUUGACAUCAAGCUGAAAGAGUGGCCAAUGAUUCUCGACAGCCACAGCAAUAAGGCA